UGUUGUAGGCGUGGGCUUUAUUAAUUUUUGAAAAUUUGCCACAAAAUGCUGACAAGGCCGAUAUUAACGACCUCAUUAAUGCCUGCAAUCUGUUUUCACAUUUGUAAAUUAUUUAUUGUUUCGCGCCGUUAGUCCGAGUGGGCGUCCUGGACUGACCGAAGUGAAGUUCCACUGUAAGAAAAUCGUGUUGUCAUAUUAAAGAUUCCUCGGUCUACAGCCAAAAAAGUGUCCCAGGCAACUGUUGAAAGAUCUCUGGUAUUCAGUGAAACAGUGACAAUAUACAGAGUGUCAGGUUUGGAGCAAAUGCCUUGUGUUUUUGCCAACUAGUUUCCCGAUCUUCUGCAGUCAGUUGCAAGCUGUUGGUUGGGUAGAUUGCAUCGAUAUUAACUGAAGUUUGGUUUGUAUUUGUUAUAUAAUUAACAGCCUUCAUCCCAGGUGCUGCGUAAAUGGAAAACUGGAGAAGUUUGCCACAAUUUUCCAGGACUUUUUAUACGAUUUGGAAACCUUGCGGCCAAGUUUAUGGGUUCAGUGCAACAAAAGACAACAUUUGAGGACAAGAACGCACAAUAAUUCCUUUAUAGCCCCAAAACGGGAAAAAAUCAUUCUGAAACACCCUGUGUAAACGUUGAUUUCUGGAUUUCUGAAGUUUUGUCCAUCAAGGAAAAUCUGCAGCUCUCGAGCUGGUUUCGUGCGGAUAAAUGUUUUUAUGAUUUUUUUAUAAAUAUGCAACGAAUAAAGAAAACGCAGUUUUUCUUAUAA